GGGCCCGCACAAGCGGUGGAGUAUGUGGUUUAAUUCGAUGCAACGCGAAGAACCUUACCAGGGUUUGACAUCCUGCGAAUCUCUUGGAAACAGGAGAGUGCCUUCGGGAACGCAGUGACAGGUGGUGCAUGGCUGUCGUCAGCUCGUGUCGUGAGAUGUUGGGUUAAGUCCCGCAACGAGCGCAACCCACGUCUUUAGUUGCCAGCAUUUAGUUGGGCACUCUAGAGAGACUGCCGGUGAUAAACCGGAGAAGGUGGGGAUGACGUCAAGUCCUCAUGGCCCUUAUGUGUUGGGCUACACACGUGCUACAAUGGUACUUACAAUGAGAAGCAAAGAUGCAAGUCCUAGCCAAUCUCUAAAAUGUACCUC
rnacentral:rRNA from 1 species